GACGAACCGAGCGAACGUUGUUCGGAAUCACUGGGCUUAAAGGGCGCGUAGGCGGGCUGUCAAGUCUGGGGUGAAAUCCCGCGGCUCAACCGUGGAACUGCCUUAGAUACUGACGGCCUCGAGGGAGGUGAGGGGCAUGCGGAACUGAUGGUGGAGCGGUGAAAUGCGUUGAUAUCAUCAGGAACUCCGGUGGCGAAGGCGGCGUGCUGGACCUCUUCUGACGCUGAGGCGCGAAAGCUAGGGGAGCAAACGGG
rnacentral:rRNA from 1 species